AUUGAACGCUGGCGGCAUGCCUAACACAUGCAAGUCGAACGGAGGUAGGGGCAACUCUACUUCAGUGGCGGACGGGUGAGGAAUGCGUCGGAAUCUACCCUAUGGUGGGGGAUAACACAGGGAAACUUGUGCUAAUACCGCAUAAUGUCGAGAGACCAAAGCAGGGGACCGCAAGGCCUUGCGCGAUAGGAUGAGCCGACGCCCGAUUAGCUAGUUGGUAGGGUAAAGGCCUACCAAGGCGACGAUCGGUAGCUGGUCUGAGAGGAUGAUCAGCCACACUGGGACUGAGACACGGCCCAGACUCCUACGGGAGGCAGCAGUGGGGAAUAUUGGACAAUGGGCGCAAGCCUGAUCCAGCAAUGCCGCGUGUGUGAAGAAGGCCUGCGGGUUGUAAAGCACUUUUGUUCGGGAAGAAAUCAUGCCGGCUAAUACCUGGCAUGGAUGACGGUACCGAAAGAAUAAGCACCGGCUAACUUCGUGCC
rnacentral:rRNA from 1 species